rnacentral:rRNA from 1 species
UACAGAGGUCUCAAGCGUUGUUCGGAUUCAUUGGGCGUAAAGGGUGUGUAGGUGGCGCCGUAAGUGGGGUGUGAAAUUUCGGAGCUUAACUCCGAAACUGCAUUCCAUACUGCGGUGCUUGAGGACUGGAGAGGAGACUGGAAUUCAUGGUGUAGCAGUGAAAUGCGUAGAGAUCGGGAAGAACAUCGGUGGCGAAAGCGCUCUGCUGGACUGCAACUGACACUCAGGGACGAAAGCUAGGGGAGCGAAUGGG